rnacentral:rRNA from 1 species
UACGAGGGGGGCAAGCGUUGUUCGGAAUUAUUGGGCGUAAAGGGCGCGUAGGCGGUGCGGUAAGUCACCUGUGAAAUCUCUGGGCUCAACUCAGAGUCUGCAGGCGAAACUGCCGUGCUGGAGUAUGGGAGAGGUGCGUGGAAUUCCCGGUGUAGCGGUGAAAUGCGUAGAUAUCGGAGGAGACAUCGGCGAAGCGAGCGGCUCUGGGCCAUAAUCAUGCGCUGAGGCGCGAAAGCGUGGGGAGCGAAACAGGAUUAGAACUAC